UGAAAGUAUUCAUUACUUUAAGCCA
rnacentral:piRNA from 1 species